GUUGAACGCUGGCGGCAGGCCUAACACAUGCAAGUCGAACGGUAACAGGAAACAGCUUGCUGUUUCGCUGACGAGUGGCGGACGGGUGAGUAAUGUCUGGGAAACUGCCUGAUGGAGGGGGAUAACUACUGGAAACGGUAGCUAAUACCGCAUAACGUCGCAAGACCAAAGAGGGGGACCUUCGGGCCUCUUGCCAUCGGAUGUGCCCAGAUGGGAUUAGCUAGUAGGUGGGGUAACGGCUCACCUAGGCGACGAUCCCUAGCUGGUCUGAGAGAAUGACCAGCCACACUGGAACUGAGACACGGUCCAGACUCCUACGGGAGGCAGCAGUGGGGAAUAUUGCACAAUGGGCGCAAGCCUGAUGCAGCCAUGCCGCGUGUAUGAAGAAGGCCUUCGGGUUGUAAAGUACUUUCAGCGGGGAGGAAGGCGAUGUGGUUAAUAACCGCGUCGAUUGACGUUACCCGCAGAAGAAGCACCGGCUAACUCCGUGCCAGCCGCCGCGGUAA
rnacentral:rRNA from 1 species